rnacentral:rRNA from 1 species
GGCGGCGUGCUUAACACAUGCAAGUCAAGGGGGCCCAGCAAUGGGCAACCGGCGAACGGGUGCGUAACACGUGAGCAACCUACCCAGGUGUGGGGGAUAGCCGUCCCAACGGACGGGUAAUACCGCAUACGCUCUUCUUUAGGCAUUUAGAGAAGAGGAAACCUUCGGGGCACCAUGAGGGGCUCGCGGCCUAUCAGCUAGUUGGCGAGGUAACGGCUCACCAAGGCUACGACGGGUAGCUGGUCUGAGGGGAUGGCCAGCCACAUUGGGACUGAGAAACGGCCCAGACUCCUACGGGAGGCAGCAGUGGGGAAUCUUGCGCAAUGGCCUAACGGCUGACGCAGCGACGCCGCGUGAGGGAUGACGCUCUUCGGAGUGUAAACCUCUUUUGCCCGGAACGAAUUGCCACCAUCAGGUGGCUUGACGGUACCGGUUGAAUAAGCACCGGCUAACUCCGUGCCAGCAGCCGCGGUAAUACGGGGGGUGCGAGCGUUGUCCGGAAUCACUGGGCGUAAA